CCUCCAUUUCUUGGCACGCAUGUAGUUAUCAGUACUCAUGUGUGUAAUGUACGGAGGAAGAGUAACGAACGGUGCUAUGUCUUCGGUGCUGGUGUGUUUGAUUGUCCACCAGUUCUAUCCUCAAUCGCCGUGACAUGA